GAUCCUUAGCCCCUUUCACCAAGUGAGGACAUAGAAAGAAGGUGCUGGUGAUGAACUAGGAAAUUGAGCCUUCAGAGGUAACCAUGCUGGAACCUUGAUCUUAGACUUCCCAGCCUCCAGAACUUCACAGAAUGGUCCCUUCUGAUGAUGAUCUUCUGUGAAAUUAUCAUGUCCAACAUGAAACCAUCAAGACCUGCCUAUUUCUCAUAUGGGAACCAGAAAGACACUGUUCGACUUGCCAGUUAUCUGCAUUGCUGGGAAAUGAUCAAGUUUGCAGCACUGCUCACAGUCUCCAGAAAGUGCCACGAUGACAGAAUAUUGACUUCCACAGGGGCUCAGGGCAGGCAUCAGCAAGUUGAGAAAAGCAAGCAGUUUCAGUUUCUGGAAGGUUUCACAAGACAGCACCCCAUACACUGUAACUUACUUAGGAAGCAUUCUACUUACAAACAGAGAUUCCAGCUUUGCAAUUUCUGGAAUUUGUGGACAUGUAAACAUUGGAUCCAGGUCAUUUUUACUUAGCUUCUCAGUCUCCAUACUUCACCUCUUACUACUCCCCAGCCAAGAUAUGAGUGAUGCUCCUUAUGCCUAAGGCCCUCAAAGGCUAGUUUCUUUCCUCACACUACAGUAUUAAAAAAAAAAAAAAAAUUAACACAUACAUAAGAUACCAGUAUUGUAAUCAGUACUAAAGCUUUAUGCUAAAGAUACAGGAUUUUAAAUACCAUAUUUUCAUGAAGAAUCUUUUACUCAAUAUAUUUUGAACUCCAACUAUGUUUCAGGUACAAUUCUAGGCCCUUGUGGGCUGCAUCAGAAAACAAAGUAGACAAAAUUCAUUGUGGAGCUUAUACUCUAGUAUAUGGGAGAGGAAAAAGACAAGUUAAAUAUACAUAGGAUGCUAGUAUCAACGGAGGAAAUUAAGUGCUGAAGGGAACAGGAGGUGCUAUAAUUUAGGGAUUUUGUUCCCUUUUUUUUUUUUAGGGGUGCUGUAAUUUUAAACGGAACGAUCAGUACCAGUCUCAGUGAGAAGGCGAUGGUAGAGCCAACUUAAGGAAGAGCAUUCUGGGAAUUCUCUGGUGGUCCACCGGUUAGGACCCUGAGCUUUCACUGCUGAGGGUGCAGUUUUGAUCCCUGGUCAAGGAACUAGGAUCCCUCAAACUGGGUGGUGUCUGGCAAAAAAAAAAAAAAAAAAACAAAAAAAGAAGAGCAUUCUGCUAAGGAGGGAUAGAUUCUGAGAAAGAUGCAAAAGCCCUAAGGCUCUAGAGUUCAAGGACUAGCCAGGAGGCCAUACUGGCUGGAGCAUAAAGAACAGUGAUUACAGAGUGACCCCAGGGCCUGUAACCAUCACUGGAUGUUGACUUUUGCUCUAAGUAAGAUGAGGAGCUAUCAGUCUUGAACAGAGAAAUGAGAUAUAAAAUGUUAUCUCACUGGAGAUAACAACUUUUGAGUUUUGCUAUAAAGGACAAAUGGCGUAAUAGUGUGAGGGAUGGGAGCAUGUGACAAGAAAAAGUUUGUUUCAUUUUUUAAGACAAUAGCAUGAUUGCAUGUUGAAUAUACAGCUUGAAAUUAAAAAUCACAAUUUUUGCCUUUUCUGCUUCCCAAGUACAUUGUUGUAUUUGACAGCUUUGAGAGAGAAGGGGCCGUAUUUGCUUG